CCUACGGGUGGCAGCAGUAGGGAAUAUUGCUCAAUGGGGGAAACCCUGAAGCAGCAACGCCGCGUGGAGGAUGAAGGUUUUCGGAUUGUAAACUCCUUUUGUUAGAGAAGAUAAUGACGGUAUCUAACGAAUAAGCACCGGCUAACUCCGUGCCAGCAGCCGCGGUAAUACGGAGGGUGCAGCGUUACUCGGAAGCACUGGGCGUAAAGGGCGCGUAGGCGGGAUAGCAAGGCAGAUGUGAAAUCCUAUGGCUUAACCAUAGAACUGCAUUUGAAACUGUUAUUCUAGAGUAUGGGAGAGGUAGGUGGAAUUCUUGGUGUAGGGGUAAAAUCCGUAGAGAUCAAGAGGAAUACUCAUUGCGAAGGCGACCUGCUAGAACAUAACUGACGCUGAUGCGCGAAAGCGUGGGGAGCAAACAGGAUUAGAUACCCGGGUAGUC
rnacentral:rRNA from 1 species